GACAAAAUGGCUGAAUAUAAGCAGUAAACUGUAAAUUUACUUAUGAAUAAUUUCUUUUGUCA
rnacentral:tRNA from 1 species